CAAUGGAGAAUGGGGAACAAUUUGUGAUGAUGGCUGGGAUAUAAACGAUGCUAAAGUUGUUUGUCGACAACUCGGUUAUGACCAUGCUGCCAAGGCUUUACUAGAAGGUAAUGUUCCACAUGGAAGUGGAAGAAUAUGGUUAGACGAAGUUCGUUGUGUAGGAAAUGAAAAUGAUAUUUCGAGUUGUUCACAUAGAGAAUGGGGAUCACAUAAUUGUAGACAUAAGGAAGAUGCUGGUGUACAAUGUUCAGGCUAUGAGGAAAGAUCCUAGUGAUGGGGAAUCAUGUCAAAGAAAUACACUAAAAACCUAAUUCUAAUCAAAAAUGCUUAUCGUAAAAAGUGUCGUGGAAAAUUUGAAAGCUUAUGUAGAAAAUGCUGUGUGUUUGACAUUUUUAUCCAUUGUUGAAAUGUAUCUGUAACACAAAACUACGUGUAAACAAAUUGUAAUCAACCAUAUUAUCAUAUAAAGUAAAUGUAGAUAUUAUCAUAAUCUAUAAAAAAAAGUAAAAUGAUAAAGUUUCAUUUCUGCUAAGAAUAAAUAUUAUUGACAAAUCAAA